rnacentral:ncRNA from 1 species
UAACAACGAACUGUGAGAAGUCAGCCAAGGUCAUAGUAGUGAUGAAGUCACUGUAAUGGGGAUGGAGCGAAGGAC